rnacentral:rRNA from 1 species
CCUACGGGGGGCUGCAGUGGGGAAUAUUGGGCAAUGGCCGAAAGGCUGACCCAGCGACGCCGCGUGUGGGAGGAAGCCCUUCGGGGUGUAAACCACUGUCAGGAGGGACGAAAGAGCGGGGAGUGAAUAAUUCUCCGCAGUGACGGUACCUUCAAAGGAAGCACCGGCUAACUCUGUGCCAGCAGCCGCGGUAAUACAGAGGGUGCAAGCGUUGUUCGGAAUUACUGGGCGUAAAGCGCGCGCAGGCGGGUCUGGUAAGUCUGGAGUGAAAUUUCACCGCUCAACGGUGAAGCUGCUUCGGAUACUGCGGAUCUGGGGAUCGGUAGAGGCUGGUGGAAUUGCUGGUGUAGCGGUGGAAUGCGUAGAGAUCAGCAAGAACACCCGUGGCGAAGGCGGCCAGCUGGGCCGAAUCCGACGCUGAGGCGCGAAAGCGUGGGGAG